ensembl:lncRNA LINC00882 long intergenic non-protein coding RNA 882
GGAUGGUGGCUAGACAAGAUGGCGGAUCCCCACUGCAAAAGUUUCUCUAAGUUUCAAAAGGUCAAGGCCUAGAUCAGCACUAGCAAAAGCAGCAGGAACAACUUUAGUGAAAUCACUAAGACAGAAUUCGCACAAGGAACUCAAUGUCUGUACAAGAGGAUGCAGCAUUCAAGGUUCUAUCUUGGAAGCAGAGACUGUGCCCUCACCAGAUGCUGAACCUGCUGAGCACCCUGAUCUUCCACUUCACCUUCAUCAGAACUUCUUUUCUUUCCCUUUUUAGACUGGGGCUGUGGCUGAGAUGUCACAUGGCAGAUAGGAUCACAAAUUUCUGUUGUAUCUGGAUGGAGAUCAGCAGGAGGAUCUAUGGGUGAGAAGAAGCACAGUUACAGAUGGAUUCUAGAGCCUGCUUGCUGACACAGGCUUGCAACUGCGGACUUUAUAAGCUUAGUUUUUAAUCUGCUAUCAGCUAGCAUAAUACCAUAAAUGCAUAAGAAACUAAGUAUUCAGUCUUACGAGAAAUGCUAUCUUGACCUGACCCUUUCUCCAAAUAAAUUGACAAAAUAUCUCAUCGUCUAGGAUGCCAGACAGAAAUACCAGUUGCAAUGUUUUGUUGCAUAAAGUUUAUCCUAAUUUAAAUUAGUGGCAUAUAAAGUCAUCAUCUUGCUUGAACAAACAUCUUAUUAAAUUGAGCAUGUCUUUUAUCCCAUGAAAUGAAAUUAAUUUUGAGAUAGUUAUUUUUCAGUUGGAAAUUUAUUGAGUUGAUAGAAAACAAGUUAUAUAGUCUUCCAAAGAAUAUGUUACAUCCAUUUGCAUUUUGUUUUUCUUCAGCAAUGUUUGGUUUUUAGAAAAUCUUACAAGUUAAAUAUACUAAUGUAGAAAUUGAAAGAAAAUAAUCAGAGAUAGAGCAAUAAAUUUGCAAAUAAAGAUUAUUCUUAAAACAAA